rnacentral:rRNA from 1 species
GACGAACGCUGGCGGCGUGCUUAACACAUGCAAGUCGAACGGAAAGGCCCUGCUUUUGUGGGGUGCUCGAGUGGCGAACGGGUGAGUAACACGUGAGUAACCUGCCCUUGACUUUGGGAUAACUUCAGGAAACUGGGGCUAAUACCGGAUAGGAGCUCCUGCUGCAUGGUGGGGGUUGGAAAGUUUCGGCGGUUGGGGAUGGACUCGCGGCUUAUCAGCUUGUUGGUGGGGUAGUGGCUUACCAAGGCUUUGACGGGUAGCCGGCCUGAGAGGGUGACCGGGCACAUUGGGACUGAGGUACGGCGCAGACUGCUACGGGAGGCAGCAGUGGGGAAUAUUGCACAAUGGGCGGAAGCCUGAUGCAGCAACGCCGCGUGCGGGAUGACGGCCUUCGGGUUGUAAACCGCUUUCGCCUGUGACGAAGCGUGAGUGACGGUAAUGGGUAAAGAAGCACCGGCUAACUACGUG